rnacentral:rRNA from 1 species
AUUGAACGCUGGCGGCAUGCCUUACACAUGCAAGUCGAACGGUAACGCGGGGCAACCUGGCGACGAGUGGCGAACGGGUGAGUAACGCAUCGGAACGUGCCCAGUAGUGGGGGAUAGCCCGGCGAAAGCCGGAUUAAUACCGCAUACGACCUACGGGUGAAAGGGGGGGAUCGCAAGACCUCUCGCUAUUGGAGCGGCCGAUGUCAGAUUAGGUAGUUGGUGGGGUAAAGGCCUACCAAGCCUGCGAUCUGUAGCUGGUCUGAGAGGACGACCAGCCACCCUGGGACUGAGACACGGCCCAGACUCCUACGGGAGGCAGCAGUGGGGAAUUUUGGACAAUGGGCGCAAGCCUGAUCCAGCCAUGCCGCGUGCGGGAAGAAGGCCUUCGGGUUGUAAACCGCUUUUGUCAGGGAAGAAAAGCCUUGGGUUAAUACCCUGGGGUGAUGACGGUACCUGAAGAAUAAACACCGGCUAACUACGUGCCAGCCGCCGCAGUAA